rnacentral:tRNA from 1 species
GGGUAUAACUCAGUGGUAGAGUGCCUGCUUAGUAUGCACAAGGUCCUGGGUUCAAUCCCCAGUACCUCCA